rnacentral:rRNA from 1 species
CGCAUCUGUGCAUGCAGCAUAUCAAUAAGCGGAGGAAAAGAAACUAACAAGGAUUCCCCUAGUAACGGCGAGUGAAGCGGGAAGAGCUCAAAUUUGAAAUCUUAAAGGGUUUCCCUUUACGAAUUGUAGUUUAAAGAAGUGUUUUCUGUUGAGGUUUUGGUAAAAGUUCUUUGGAAUAGGACAUCAUAGAGGGUGAGAAUCCCGUAUUUGACCUUUACUUUCAACUUUGUGAUACACUUUCAAAGAGUCGGAUUGUUUGGGAAUGCAGUCCAAAAUGGGUGGUAAAUUUCAUCUAAAGCUAAAUAUUGGCGAGAGACCGAUAGCGAACAAGUACCGUGAGGGAAAGAUGAAAAGAACUUUGAAAAGAGAGUUAAACAGUACGUGAAAUUGUCAAAAGGGAAGCGUUUGACACCAGUGCUGUUUUUCUGAAAAUCAAUUAAAGAACUGUUUAUGCUAAGUUGUUUAGACUUUAUCAGCUAACUGUUUAGUUUUGAGCUUUUCUUUAAUGCACUUUUCAGUUAACAAGUCAACAUCAAUUUCUUUUGCUGUAAAAAAGCUUGAGGAAGGUGGCUUGAGAUUCGUCUUAAGUGUUUAUAGCCUCUUGCCUAUGCAGUCGGAGAGAUUGAGGUCUGCAGCGUAGAUCCUUCGGGGCUAAAUGCAUUUGUGCUAAGUUAUAGCAUUUUAUAGACAACUUGUUGACUAUGAUUUGUCUUGUAGCUUACUCGCUUAUGUUAUUUUACCUACGCUUAGGAUGUUGAGCGCAUGUCUCUCUC